GGUUCCGUGGUGUAGGGGUUAACAUGCCGGCCUGUCACGCAGGAGAUCGCGGGUUCAAAUCCCGUCGGGACCGGCA
rnacentral:tRNA from 1 species